AGAGAAAAACAAAAAGAAAAAAAGGAAGGGGGAGGAACCAAAAAGAAACGGAGGGAGGCUUCGGAUAAAAGAGGGAGCGGCUAGGUGUUUUUGAAAAAAAGCCAGGACUGAGGAAGCUUUUGGAGAUUGAGAGGGAAAAACAGAGAGCUUCGUUUGGGGGGCUAGAGAAAAAGAAAACAGAGAACCAGAAAACAGGGGAAGGGGCUUCGGCCGAAACAAAAAAAAAAAAAAAAGAGAGCAAGAGAAAAACCUGGAAAAAAUUGGGGAGGUUUUCGGAAGGCAAAACAGAAAAGGAAAAGGGAAGAUUCGGACUGAAACGGAGAGGAAGGAAACAGCAAUGAAAAAUCAGAAAAUAAAGCUGGAAGUUGGAGAGGAAAAAGGGAGGAUGGCGGAGAGAAAAAGAAGACUCCAAUGGCGGCUAGGGUUGAGGGAACCAACAGAAAAAGCUGAGAUCAAGCGGACAAAAAAAACAGAGGGAGUUUCGUCUGAGAGCAAAGGGAAAAAUCUGGAAAAACAUGAAGAGGGAAUCUGAGAGUUUGGAGGGGCGGCUGAGCAGAGAAAAACCAGAAAAAGGAGAGGAGCGGCAGAGUAAGGGAAACUAGAGAGGCUAUGGGCUGAGGAGAAACGAAGCCAAGGCAAGAGAGGAGAAGGAGGCUUCGGCUGAAAAUGGAAAUAGAGGAGGAAAGGAAUUGCGGGCAAGAAACCAGAGCCAAGCUGCGGCGAGAAACGGAGGGGCUGCCACCACCUCAUCAGAUAUCCAUCACCAUCAUCUGCGGAUCUUCACCGAGGAGGAGCUUUUCAAGAGCUCUGCAAGGCGAUUUUCAGGGAUAUAAAAGCAGCGUUUGAGAUUCAGUUUUCACGGGUGAUAGAUGCAUGUGCAUUUCCGAAGAUGUAUGGUGGCCAAACUCCCUUCCCCUAGGUAUGGGUUCACCAUUGUGCGUUGGAAGCCAAGUGCAACUGGGCAGCUGACACUCAACACUGAUGGGUGUUCCAAGGGGAAUCCCAGUAUGAGUGGUGGAGGUGGAGUGAUUAGGGAUUCCAAUGGUCAACUAGUGUUUGCAUUCUCAGCGUUCCUUGGUGAAGAAACCAGCUUACAGGCAGAGACUCUAGCGCUAUUAAUAGGGCUCCGGCUGUGUGCGGGAUGGGGAGUGGCCACACCGUUUGUUCAAUCGGACUCUGCAAUCUUAGUGGGCGUUCUACAAUGGCGAUUCCAUUGCCCGUGGCAUGUUCGGGCGGAGGUAGAGUAGAUAUGGCAAAUGGUUACGGAGGUGGGCAGGUUCUGACACUGUGUUCGAGAGACGAACAAAGUAGCAGACGUAUUGGCUAAUGUGAGGGUCACGCUUACAAUUUAUGACACCCUAGAGGCGGCUCCGGUGUUGGCUAGGGGUGCAAUUCGACUUGAUCAGUUGGGAGUACCGGCUGUUAGGAGAGGGAGGAGGGCCGUGAGAGGAGACACUUUGUCGUGACAGGAGAAACUUUUCCUUGUACUUAAAACUUUGUGCUUCUAUAUCUUGUAUUUGGUUUUUAUGAAUAAAAUCUAAAGAGUUUGUUUUAAAAAAAA